AACAUCGCGCACCUGCGGGAACCUGCGGAGGGAUCAUUAGUGAACGCCCUCACGGGCUUAUAACUAUUCCAAACCUCUGUGAACCGUGCCCUUCGGGGCUAUCUUACAAACAUGGUGUAAUGAACGUCAUAUAUCAUAACAAAACAAAACUUUUAACAAUGGAUCU
rnacentral:misc_RNA from 1 species